ACCUCAACUUUUCCAUAAAAGAUGUUUGAAGACUUUAGAGAGAGAAAGUAGAGAGAGAGAGCAGCAAAGAAAAAGGGCUCCGAUGGGUUCCGGCCGCCGGUGAUGGCAGAGCCAUGAUGCUUUAGACGGAGCUACAACAGUGGUGGUCUAGGUGGUGUCGGGUUGGAAAAAUAAACAACAGUGAUGGUGGUGUUAGGUAAAAGGCGGUGGUUCAGUUGACAACUGUGACGACCACAACGGACCCGAUUGCAAUAAUAGUGACCGCGGAGUUUUGAAGGUUUAGGAAUCCGGCAAGGCUUCAGUUAAUUCCUACGAGUUUUGCAGUAAGCUUCGUUUCGCUUGCAUGUUUUAUUUUUGUUUAGAUCGGCUCCUAACGAAUAUGAUUUGGUGAAACUUGUGAUAAGUGUUAUUUUCUUGCUCCUCAACGAGAAGCAUCUUCUGGCAUUCUACUAAAUAGUUUACUAAUGAAGGAUAGGUCCAGCUUCAGCCUCCAUUUAGAAACGGAAUUUAGCAAAAGAUAAAUUAUUUAGGAUAAGGUUAAGGUUUUAGCCUUUUUGUUAAGCGAAAGGGGCCUUUCAAAUACUGGUUAACUGUCCUGUUUUACUUCAUGAAGUUGCUGUUGAAAAGUUGUUGAGAGAAAGACCAACGAAGAUUGUAAAUUUUUGUUAAAAGAGGUGGCAAAAUGGGUGGGUUGAAUAGCCGAUCAAAAGAGUAUGCUGGUUUGUUUGUUUUUUUAUUUGUUAGUACCUUGUAAGCAUAUACACUAAUACACAUACAAAAAAAGUAGAUUGGAGUUGUAUUCUUAUUAGGUUGUAAAAAUAGUUUUACCUUGGAAGGUAAUUUUUAUGAGACUAGGUUUGACUUCUGAGAUGAAAAAGAUUAAAUACCGUGUGUUAGUAGAUCUAAGAGGAUAGAAUAGAACGUGGAGAUUGGAUUGCAUGAGGGGACUGUGGAAACAAGAUCAAAAGCUAUUGAUGAUAGCUAUGUUGGUUGUUGAUGGGAGUCAAAGACUUGGUUAACUCAGUCAACCAAGUUAACUCGGUCAACACAGUAAGUCGGGUGAAAACCCUCUCAAACGAUAGGAAGCUAGAUAGGUAGUGAGAGUGAUAACCGGUUUAUUUCGAUGAUUUUCAUGAUUCUAUAUCAUUAUUUGGAAGGAUCACAAAUUUAUUGAAGGAUCACAAAUUUAUUGAAGGAUCAAGAGAAUUAAAAAACUGUGUAUUGAAUUCGAGUUUGGGCUAUAUUCAUGGUUCUUAAUAUGUUGAUUGUACACUAAAGCUUCUUUUGGAAGCUUUAUAUUUCAUACAAAGAGAAGAGAGAGACAUGAGAGAUAGAGAUGCAGAUUCGUUUGAGAGAGAGAAACGGUGGAAGGACCAACGUUUACGGUGGUUACUAGGCGGCGCACGGCGGCGCUUUUCACUUAUGACGCUACACGACUGACACUCAAAGAAUCAUCGACGAGGAGUGUAUUUCGGUGAAGUAUGACGAGUCUCCGGCGAAGAUCCGGUAAGUCUUCUAUUCUGUUGCAUGUUACAGUUUCAGUUACAUCGGUUCUUGAUGUGUCGUUUGAGACUAUUCUCGGUGAUAAAUAAUUCCGACAAGAAUCCGGUCAAGUUCCAACCAAGCUCCGGUGAACGAAACUCGACCUGCAUCUCUUCUUUAUUUUUCUAUGUGCAUAUGUAGUCAUACGUUUAGUUAUGUUGAUUAUAAAUGUUUGGGAAUUAGGUCAAGUGGUUGUAUUCUUGGGUUGAAAUUUGUUGAUCAAAGUCAAAAUAGUUCUGAUUUGGUUGCAAAGAUGAAGAAUACAGAGCUCAACUUGUGAGUAAUGUUAGGCACGGCCAAAGAAGUAUAAAUAGAUUAGAGUCAAGCAUUAGUGGAGUGGAAAGAAGUAGAGAGGGUACAAGUAAGAGAUACAAAGAGCUACAGAUUCCAUGGUAGUGGCUGAUGGAUACAGGAGUCGUUGGAAAGGUAGGUGUAGACUUUCCUUUAUAUCACCAAGCAAAGGCUUUUUGUGAUAAUAAACUUGAGUUACAAUAUAUUAUGCUUUAUAAAGUUAACUACAAAUCUUGAUUGUAACUUAAGCUAUUUAUUUUAUUAAUUAAUUAAGUCGACAAUUACAGAUAAAACUAAGUUCCCUGAAUCUUGUGCUAUUGUACCAGUUUUGUUAGUAUUUUUGUCUAGAUAGUUUGGCAGUGGAAAAUACAUCAGCUCAAGGGGACACGCGUCAUUAAUCCUCAUCGUAUGAGAAACCUAAACCAUCUUUCUCACAAAGUCUGGGUAGAGGGAGAGAUCGAGAGAAAGAGAAUCCGACCACACUCCGGCGGCCGGUGGUAUCAAUGACGACGGUGACGAUAGGGGUAAACGGAAAUGAAGAUGAUCGUCUUUUGAGAUUUAGGUUGUAUGGUUAUUUUGUAAUAAAGUUGUCAUUGUCGUGGCUCUCGUGGUGUUUCGCAGCAUGUAAAGCGACUGCCGGUGGCGGAGACGACCUACUGCAGUCGAACAUUUGAUGAACAUGAAGUUCACUUGCAUUGCAUCAUUAAAGACAUAUAAACGCCACCAGUGGUACUGCCUCCGACUUGCUCCUUUUAAAAAAAAACUCCCGAUGAAGUACUUGGCAAUGAGACUUGUAUUCUUAGAGUUCAUCUACACGGUGAUGGUUGCAAACACAAAGUGAAGAAACUUAUUCAAAGAAUUGACGGUAUUCUCUCUUUCAGCUGUUCGUUUCAUUAAAAAAAGAAAAGAAAGUAUGUCUUUGACUUUUGAAGUCAAAGAAUACUUUUUGGUUUCAAAAUUGAAUGUAAUUAUUGGAAUGAAAAAAAUGGUACAUGUACAAGUAGGUGUUGAAUAUGGUACAAAAGGGAAGAAGUUCUUGGUGUAGGUAUGGGUGGGAUAUGAAGGUCAAGAUUUGUCGGGUUUGACUACACAUGUUCAAGAUUUGUGACGAUGAUGAAUCUUUAAGUUCGGUUAGCUUAAUGAACUAGAGCGGGUAGUUUCAUUCAUGUGUAUAAAUGUGAUAGCAAGUUUUGUAUCAUUAAUGUGGGCAUAAUAGAAGAAUAUUAGUUUGCUUUAGCUUUGCGAAA